AGCGAACGUUAGCGGCGGGCUUAACACAUGCAAGUCGAACGAGAAUGAGGGGGCAACUCCUCUAGUAAAGUGGCGGACGGGUGAGUAACACGUGGGUAAUCAACCUUCCGGCGGGGGACAACAGUCCGAAAGGAUUGCUAAUACCGCGUACGUCGGCGAAAACUCCGGUUUUCGCCGGGGAAGAUGGCCUCUCCAUGGAAGCUUUCACCGGAAGACGGACGCGCGUCCCAUCAGCUAGUUGGUGAGGUAACGGCUCACCAAGGCGAAGACGGGUAGCUGGUCUGAGAGGAUGAUCAGCCACACUGGAACUGUGACACGGUCCAGACUCCUACGGGAGGCAGCAGUGGGGAAUAUUGGACAAUGGGCGCAAGCCUGAUCCAGCCACGCCGCGUGCAGGAAGAAGGCCUUCGGGUUGUAAGCUGCUUUUGUCAGGGAAGAAAUCCUCUGGGUUAAUACCUCGGGGGGAUGACGGUACCUGAAGAAUAAGCACCGGCUAACUACGUGCCAGCAGCCGCAGUAAAAC
rnacentral:rRNA from 1 species